GAUGAACGCUGGCGGCGUGCCUAAUACAUGCAAGUCGAGCGAAUGGAUUAAGAGCUUGCUCUUAUGAAGUUAGCGGCGGACGGGUGAGUAACACGUGGGUAACCUGCCCAUAAGACUGGGAUAACUCCGGGAAACCGGGGCUAAUUCCGGAUAACAUUUUGAACCGCAUGGUUCGAAAUUGAAAGGCGGCUUCGGCUGUCACUUAUGGAUGGACCCGCGUCGCAUUAGCUAGUUGGUGAGGUAACGGCUCACCAAGGCAACGAUGCGUGGCCGACGUGAGAGGGUGAUCGGCCACGCUGGAACUGAGACACGGCCCAGACUCCUACGGGAGGCAGCAGUAGGGAAUCUUCCGCAAUGGACGAAAGUCUGACGGAGCAACGCCGCGUGAGUGAUGAAGGCUUUCGGGUCGUAAAACUCUGUUGUUAGGGAAGAACAAGUGCUAGUUGAAUAAGCUGGCACCUUGACGGUACCUAACCAGAAAGCCACGGCUAACUACGUGCCAGCCGCCGCCGUAA
rnacentral:rRNA from 1 species